GACAACAUGCCAGAGUGGUUAAUGGGUAUGAUUCGAAAUCAUAUGGUUUCGGCCGCGGAGGUUCGAGUCCUCCUGUUGUCG
rnacentral:tRNA from 1 species